CCUACGGGAGGCAGCAGUAGGGAAUCUUCCACAAUGGACGAAAGUCUGAUGGAGCAACGCCGCGUGAGUGAUGAAGGUUUUCGGAUCGUAAAACUCUGUUGUAAGGGAAGAACAAGUACGAGAGGGAAUGCUCGUACCUUGACGGUACCUUGCGAGAAAGCCACGGCUAACUACGUGCCAGCAGCCGCGGUAAUACGUAGGUGGCAAGCGUUGUCCGGAAUUAUUGGGCGUAAAGCGCGCGCAGGCGGCCUUUUAAGUCUGAUGUGAAAGCCCCCGGCUCAACCGGGGAGGGUCAUUGGAAACUGGAAGGCUUGAGUACAGAAGAGAAGAGUGGAAUUCCAUGUGUAGCGGUGAAAUGCGUAGAGAUGUGGAGGAACACCAGUGGCGAAGGCGACUCUUUGGUCUGUAACUGACGCUGAGGCGCGAAAGCGUGGGGAGCAAACAGGAUUAGAUACCCUGGUAGUCCACGCCGUAAACGAUGAGUGCUAGGUGUUGGGGGUUUCCGCCCGUCAGUGCUGAAGCUAACGCAUUAAGCACUCCGCCUGGGGAGUACGGCCGCAAGGCUGAAACUCAAAUGAAUUGACGG
rnacentral:rRNA from 1 species